CGUUGCAGAUAUGACAGGCAAAAUCAGCCAGUACUUUAAAAAGCGACUUCGCAAGGAGGAAAGUCAAGAGUCCAGGUGAAACACAGCAGAGAAAAAACGUAAUAGGCAGUUAAAAUGCUAUAAUUCAUGUUGGUGACAACGUGGAAAUUUGUGUCAGGUCUGAAAGUACUUCACAAGGGACUGGUGAUCGCGAGGGUCAGAAUGCAGGACAGGACGAGUCGGCGAGGCGAGGGUAAUUAAUUAAUUAGUUUCCAAUUAGGAGCAUAACAACGCAAAGCCGACGUGUACGUGGUUUUUAUUCCUCUUUCCAGAUCUUCUCAAAAACACAGAGCCAGUGGCUUUGACAAGCAAUGGCUCAAUCAAUUUACCUGGCUCAGGCAUACUGAGGAAGGCAUGCACUGCGAUUUAUGCCAAAAGCACUGUGCCCCAACGCAGCAGGCAAUUGCUGCCUCCUUAGUGAGACAGCCAUCAACCAACUACAGGCUGGACACAUUAAAAAGACAUGAGGUGAUAGCCGUUCACAAAGCAGCAGAAGAGAAGGAGAAGUAUAUUAAAGAUGGUAGUACCUAAAAAAACUCAACUAAUAAAGUUACAAAAACUAAAAUAACAUAGUUUAGACAGUUUAAGAAAUAAUUGGUUGUCGUUUUUUUAGGGAGGACACUCCAGCGUAUACAUAUAGAUAAUAUAUGAUUGAAAACACUAUCACUCUUCAUGUCUGUAUCAGAAUAAAUACAAAAAUACUUAAUGCAUGAUGAAUUGUUUUGUUUAAGGUGAAGACACCUCUGCGGAACAGACUGAAGGAGAGGCACUUGGAUGUCUGUUGUAAGGUGGCCGUUGAUGGACCAGACCAGGAGGCCUUGGACUACAAGGAGUGCAUGAGGAGGUUCUACAGAAUGAAAAAGAGGAGGCUGAAAUGUUCUGUCUGGUUGCGAGAUGUGUGGAUGAAGUGUACUUUCAAUUUAAAGUUGCCAGCUGAUUUGUGUAUGUAUAUAGUUUUAAUAAAUGAAUGCUUUAACAUGAUAAUGGUCACACUCUUUUUUGAACUCUUAACUUAAAGUAUGUUGCCUGUAAAAGAAAGUGAGUCGGUUGAAUUUACAAAUACAUGCACGUCAUGGCGCAUGGUCAGGAUGGUGCCACCUCUGCCUCAAUUUGAGCCAGGAAAAACCCUGCA